rnacentral:rRNA from 1 species
UACGUAGGGUGCAAGCGUUGUCCGGAAUUAUUGGGCGUAAAGAGCUCGUAGGCGGUUUGUCGCGUCCGCUGUGAAAAUCCAGGGCUUAACCCUGGACCUGCAGUGGGUACGGGCAGACUAGAGUGCGGUAGGGGAGAUCGGAAUUCCUGGUGUAGCGGUGAAAUGCGUAGAGAUCGGGAGGAACACCAGAGGCGAAGGCGGCGACCUGGACAGGUACUGACACUCAACUACGAAAGCGUGGGGAGCAAACAGG